AACCAAUAACAAAUCCUUGCGAACUUGAGCAUAUAAGCUCAAAGAGGACAAUAUCAUACUAAAUGGGAGUUGGAAUGGGCUUAGAAAGCCCAUUAUGGACAUCAUCAUUGUACCUCGCUUUUUCAUGUUUUAAACAACUUUCAACUCUUUUCUUUCUUUCUCUGUGGCUACUGAGUUCUUCCGGAGAGGCUGUCGAUAAUUUGUUAAUGAAGAAGACACAAACCCUAUCUUUUUCUUAAGCUUAU
rnacentral:sRNA from 1 species